CACGGGCAGCGGACGUAGCAGCAGCACUUCUGCGGGCAGCACUGACAGCAACAUAUGCAGAGGAGCAUGAUGAGCAGGAGAGCACCGAUGAUGAUUAACAGGACGGUCAGCCAGUCUGGAACAGCUGCAGUCUCACCUGUGGAGUAGUACUCCAGCACCGGGUCUUUACAGAAGGACUUGUACCUCCAGGUGACCAGGACAUCCUGAAGGUUCGCUGAAGUGGAGUAGUCACAGCGAAUGAUCACAGAGGCGAACAGAGUCGUACUCCUCUGCGUCUCUGGAACCAUCACCUGGAUGGACAGCAGCUCUGAUACAAUGUUAACAUGCUGGGACAGGACCAGAUGGGUGAAUGUGAUUGCCACCCCUGAUGCCCCCCCGCCCCUCCCACCAACCAGAGUCAGAUGAUGAUAGUUGGCUUGUUCACGGAUGGAUUACUAAACAGGCCUACCGGAUAUAGACGCAGUGGCACUGGGGCCAGUGCUUCUGUUUGAAGUAAGUUUUACCAUUCCUCAAUAGAAAGUCAAUCAAGGAACUAUCAAGAUACACAAUAACAACUAUAUAGAGUCACAACACUAACACAAAGAUGAGAAAAAUGACUACAAUCGCAAAGACCCCAAAGAGUCCCAUAGUGACUCCAAAGAGUCACAAAACGACCACAGAGUCACUAAACUACUACAAAGAAUUGCAAAAUGACAACGCAGAAUAACAAAAUGACCACAAAGAGUCCCAAAACGACCACACAGACGCAAUAUAGUAACAUGUUUUUCUGUAAAUGUUUUGGGAUAAUGAUGUGCCAUUGAAGACUUUAUACAAACAUUUAAAGGUGCACACAUGCUUUUCAAGAUAAAGUGUGCUGAGUGUGUGUAGCUGGUUGUCAAUAAAGCUCUAGUGUUUGUUUAGUUGUGUAUAGUUGAUAAGCUAUGAUAAAAACACAGGCGUUUAUCCAAGAUACAGUACACACACUUUAUCACACAUAUUGUAAAACACAAUAACCACUCAAACAUCAGAUUUUUUGACAGACAAUAAGUAUUUCAUAUCAAAAUGAAUCUUGUCAAAACUAUUGAAAUGCAGAUAAAUGCAAGCCUGUAGACCAGUUUGUGUUAUCUGUGGAAAGUGUGGAAGUGUUGAGAAAGAAAAAAAAACACUGAAUUUAUGCUUACGAAAAAUGACUUAUUGACAAAGUUCCUAUAUAGACUUAACCAACCUACCAUCAGUUACAUGUACACAUCAAAUUCUGGGUUAAUACUUGAUCCCCUUAUUUGGUAAAAACAAAACAAAAAGUCUGCUCAGCAACAUGACAAAUAUACUUGUAGAUGAUUUUGUCAAAUCUGUGCACACUGUGAUAUUGAAACAGUACGUGUGCACAGUAAAAUACUUUCAUGACACAUGAAUGUGUGCCAUUUUCUUGUCUGCUUAAACGUAAUGUGUCUUAUUUCCUUCUUAAAAGAUCCUGCGAAAAUUAUUGCGGCACACAGGCCUUGGUUUUAAUGCUGUUUUGAUACUGUUGGAUUACCCCUGAAACAAAGAGCACCUUGUUAGACUUUUCUCAACCACCACCAAAAAGAAGCGCUCCUUUUCUCUGUCUUCCCAAUUUUCUUCUUAAAAUUGGAUGAUUUGCUGUUUUUCUUGUGUCCUAUGUGAUAGUGAACCAAAUAUCUUUAGACUGUUGGACUGCUUGGACACUCUUGGCCGAGAUAAUAAACAUACAUUCAUUUAGACAACCGAGACUGCUUUGAGUUUUCUUUAUUGAAAAAGUAUUUAACCAGUGCAAUUAAAGAGGCGCUAUGCAGUUUUGGCCAUUUCUUCGCUGUUUGCUUGCAGGUUUCUCUAUAGAGCUCCCCCUACAGCUUCGGAAUAGAUAUUUGGCAGC